UGCAGAUGAUGUGAAAGAAUAUUUGCUAUCUUAGUGAUAGUGUGCUGACACAGAACCACCAAGAUCACUGAUGCA
ensembl:snoRNA SNORD24 Small nucleolar RNA SNORD24